UUCUUAUUUACGGACCAAAU
rnacentral:snRNA from 1 species